AUUGAACGCUGGCGGAAUGCUUUACACAUGCAAGUCGAACGGCAGCACGGACUUCGGUCUGGUGGCGAGUGGCGAACGGGUGAGUAAUGUAUCGGAACGUGCCCAGUCGUGGGGGAUAACGUAGCGAAAACUACGCUAAUACCGCAUACGAUCUAUGGAUGAAAGCGGGGGAUCGCAAGACCUCGCGCGAUUGGAGCGGCAGAAAUUAGAUUAGGUAGUUGGUGGGGUAAAGGGCCACCAAGCCAACGAUCUGUAGCUGGUCUGAGAGGACGACCAGCCACACUGGAACUGAGACACGGUCCAGACUCCUACGGGAGGCAGCAGUGGGGAAUUUUGGACAAUGGGCGAAAGCCUGAUCCAGCCAUUCCGCGUGCAGGAUGAAGGCCCUCGGGUUGUAAACUGCUUUUGUACAGAACGAAAAGGUUUCUACUAAUACUAGGAGCUCAUGACGGUACUGUAAGAAUAAGCACCGGCUAACUACGUGCCAGCAGCCGCCGUAA
rnacentral:rRNA from 1 species